rnacentral:antisense_RNA from 1 species
UUAACGGGAAAAAAUCGAUCCCGUCUCUCGGCUUGUCAGAUGCAGUUGCGGUAGAAAGAACAACUGUAUCGCCGUAGUGCAUGAAUGCUGCACCAUUUGCCUGCUUUGCAACACGGCCUACCUCAACGGUAAGGGUACGUCCCGCAAGCUCCAUGGAAAAACUCUUAAACAUGGCUUCGUCUCCUUUUCUUAAAUGUUGCGACAGAAGAAGCCGAAACUACUAAACUAAACAUGAUCCACGCAUUGGUUAACACGCGAAC